rnacentral:hammerhead_ribozyme from 1 species
CAGCUGACGAGUCCAAAAUAGGACGAAACGCGUGUCCUG